GAGAACGACAUGAACUUGGAGGUGGCCAUCGUGAAUCGCCACCGGGUAUGUAAUUGUUUUCUAUUCUUUUCCCCUGAAUUUGUACUCUCUUUUGCGCCUUUUGUAAUGUUGUGGGAUUUGUAUUCUUUUCCCUCAAGGUGAUGAAUCAGCAAAGCGAGGGACUUAAUUAUUCAGUGAGGCCAGCAGGGUAUCCCAUUACCUACAUUUCCUCUUAAGUAUGCUGACCAGAUCUCGAGAGUCUUGGAUGCUUCUUUCUUGGUCCGUUUAAAUAGAUCAUUAUUUUUACCAGGUUGUACAUGUUUUUUUCUCUCAAUGUGCACUCUCACAAUCAUAUACCUUUUCUGAUCUUGAAAGUGAUUUGUUGAUGGUAUAGGAUAUCACCCUAACAAUGUCCUCUCAUCAAGGAUUGGGAUGUGUUCUCCAUACAACAUAUUGUCCAGGGCCAUGCUUGGCAGCCUCUCCUCCUCCCGGUCUUCGGUGCUUCUGCAGGAACUAAACGCCAGUGUGGUCGAGCUACACAGCACACCAGCGAGCUAUAACACCGCACCACUUCGAUUCAACGAUUUAUGUGCAUACAGUAUACUUCCAUGUAUACUUGAUUCUUCUAUAUAGAAUAUGGAUCCAGGUGGUUUGGAAUGUUAAAUAUGUGCUCAUCCGAUGUCUGGAUUGACCAAUCUAUUUACCGACGGCCGAUUUUUAAUGAUGUCUUAUGAAGUUGUGAAAUUCCGUGAGGAAAAGUUUGUGAGUGGAAUUAAUUAGUAUGCUGCUUGUGAUGUUUCCUCCAAAGCUCUUUUGCGAUCAAUAAUUCCUAUAUUCUUAUGUGUAUAAAUUCUCCCCUAAAUUCUGGAGUACAUAUUUCUUCCAUAUUGUUCACCUCUUCCAUUGUAUACAUGCACUUUGGAAGGGAGAUGUUAAUGUUGGUUGGUUGCCCCAUAAGUCAAAAAGGUUAAAAUCUUGAGUUGUAUCAAGUAUAGUCCUUUUCUCGAAGUUUCUGAUGGACUAUAUAACAUUGACCAUUGAAUCAUUC